rnacentral:lncRNA from 1 species
AUGGAGGGGCCCGACUCAUCGUGCUCCUGCUUGCUGAUCCACAUCUGCUGGAACAUGGACAGCGAGGCCAGGAUGGAGCCGCCGAUCCACACCGAGUACUUGCGCUGGGGGGGGAGCGAUGAUCUUUAUCUUCAUGGUGCUGGGCGCCAGGGCGGUGAUCUCCUUCUGCAUGCGGUCCGCGAUGCCAGGGUACAUGGUGGUGCCGCCCGACAGCACCGUGUUGGCGUACAGGGACAGCACAGCCUGGAUGGCCACGUACAUGGCCAGCGUGUUGAACGUCUCGAACAUGAUCUGGGUCAUCUUCUCGCGGUUGGCCUUGGGGUUCAGGGGGGCCUCGGUCAGCAGCACCGGGUGCUCCUCGGGCGCCACGCGCAGCUCGUGGUAGAAGGUGUGGUGCCAGAUCUUCUCCAUGGCGUCCUAGUUGGUCACGAUGCCGUGCUCGAUGGGGUACUUGAGCGUCAGGAUGCCACGCUUGCUCUGGGCCUCGUCGCCCACGUACGAGUCCUUAUGGUCCAUGCCCACCAUCACGCCCUGGUGCCGCGGACGCCCCACUAUGGAGAGGAAGACAGCCCGGGGGGCAUCGUCGCCCGCGAAGCCGGCCUUGCACAUGCCGGAGCCAUUGUCGACCACAAGCGCGGUGAUAUCGUCAUCCAUGGUGCGGUGGUCGCGAGCUGGACGCGGUCUCGGCGAUACUACCAGUUUUUAAUUAGGCUCCCUGAGCUCGUUCUAGUUUUUCUCACAUUUUGA